rnacentral:rRNA from 1 species
GAUGAACGCUGGCGGCGUGCUUAACACAUGCAAGUCGAACGAGAAGUGAAGACGGAAACCUUCGGGCGGAAGGCUUUAUUUCGAGUGGCGGACGGGUGAGUAACGCGUGGGUAACCUGCCUCAUACAGGGGGAUAACAGUUGGAAACGACUGUUAAUACCGCAUAAGACCACAGCACCGCAUGGUGCGGGGGUAAAAACUCCGGUGGUAUGAGAUGGACCCGCGUUCGAUUAGCCAGUUGGCGGGGUAACGGCCCACCAAAGCGACGAUCGAUAGCCGAUCUGAGAGGAUGACCGGCCACAUUGGGACUGAGACACGGCCCAAACUCCUACGGGAGGCAGCAGUGGGGAAUAUUGCACAAUGGGGGAAACCCUGAUGCAGCGACGCCGCGUGAGUGAAGAAGUAUUUCGGUAUGUAAAGCUCUAUCAGCAGGGAAGAAAAUGACGGUACCGGAGUAAGAAGCCCCGGCUAACUACGU